rnacentral:rRNA from 1 species
AUACGGAGGGUGCAAGCGUUGUUCGGAUUUAUUGGGCGUAAAGCGAGUGUAGGCGGUUUGACAAGUCGAAUGUGAAAUCCCGAGGCCCAACCUCGGAACUGCAUCCGAAACUGUCAGGCUAGAGUCCCGGAGAGGAUGGCGGAAUUCCCGGUGUAGGGGUGAAAUCCGUAGAUAUCGGGAGGAACACCAGUGGCGAAGGCGGCCAUCUGGACGGUGACUGACGCUGAGACUCGAAAGCGUGGGUAGCAAACAGGAUUAGAAACCCCAGUAGUCC